UUCCCCAUCCAGUCCUCGCGCAAGCUCUCGUCCUCACCAAACGGCUAGACCCGCCGGCCGCCGCCGCCGCGCGCGAAGCAACCAAUGGCGGACGCCGCGGAGCUCGUGCGCCUCCUCCGCCUCCGGGCCACGCCGCGGCCGUCGCCUCCGCAGCGCUCCGGACCGUCCCCGCGGCCGCAGCGCCUGCUCAGAGCUCUCCCCCGCCGCCGCCCUCCCCUCUCGCUCCGGUGCCGCGCGCUGGACGCCAGCGGGCCGGCGGCGGUGGAGGGGGAGCGUGGCGAGGAGGACGUGUUCGAGGACGAGGAGGAGUACUACUUCUCGGUCACCUCGUCGGGGCUCUCGCAGGUGGACUACCUCGGGCAGAGCACCAGGGGGGAUUUGAACGUGCGGAGGGAGCGCCUCGAGGCGCUUGGUGGGAAUGGCGAGUCAACCCUGCAUGGUCCUAUUGAAGAGAUUGCUUGGAAAGAAGCGGAAGAAGCUGAAACAUUACUUCAUGACUUGGGAAUUGCAGACCCAUUUUCAGUAAGACACUCUCCUCGUGGAAUUUUCUGCACCAGGACACUAAAUCUUCGAUCCAUCAGUGUGAUUGGCUAUGAUAUGGAUUACACAUUAAUUCAUUACAAUGUGAUGGCCUGGGAAGAGCGUGCAUAUGAUUAUGGGAUGGACAACCUUAAGAGCAUGGGUUUUCCAGUUGACGACCUUAAAUUUGAUCCUGAUCUGGUCAUAAGAGGUCUCAUUAUUGAUAAAGAAAAAGGAAACUUGGUCAAACCUGACCGUUUUGGUUACAUUAAAAGGGCCAUGCAUGGUACUCAGAUGCUUUCCACUCCUUCUGUGAGUGAAAUAUAUGGAAGGGAAUUGGUGGACCUGCGAAAAGAAAGUCGAUGGGAGUUUCUUAAUACCCUUUUCUCGGUUUCAGAAGCUGUCAUGUUCAUGCAGAUGGUCGACAAGUUAGAUCAGGGAUUGGUGCCAGCUGAACUUGGACCACUGGAUUACAAAGGGCUGUACAAUGCUGUUUCCAAAGCACUUUUUCGAGCACAUGUAGAAGGCCAACUUAAGCUGGUUGAUAUGCAGAGAGAAAUAAUGGCUGAGCCUGAGCGGUUUGUAGAGCCUGAUCCAGAACUGCCUUUAGCUCUUCUUGACCAAAAAGAGGCUGGAAAAAAGUUGCUUCUUAUUACUAAUUCAGAUUACCAUUAUACAAACAAAAUGAUGAAUCAUGCAUUCAAUCGCUUUCUUCCUAAUGAUGUGGGUUGGAGUGAUCUUUUUGAGAUGGUUAUAGUCUCUGCAAGGAAGCCAGAGUUUUUCCAACUUUCACAUCCACUGUAUGAGGUUGUAACAGAUGAUGGAUUGAUGCACCCCUGUUUUAAAGCAAAUUCAGGUGGCCUAUACUCUGGUGGCAGCGCUCAGAUGGUUGAGAAGUCGCUAAACAUUCAUGGGGAUGAGAUAUUAUAUGUUGGAGACCAUAUUUACACAGAUGUAAGCCAAUCAAAAGUUCAUUUACGCUGGAGGACAGCAUUAAUCUGCAGAGAACUAGAAGAUGAGUUUGAUGCACUGGUCCAAAGCCAUGGUCAGAUAGAAAAGCUUGUCUCACUUAUACAACAAAAAGAAAUUGUGGGGGAUCUUUUUAACCAGCUUCGCCUGGCUCAGCAGAGACGCUCUAAUUCACGUCCUGCACAGACACUAGCUGCAACUUGCAUGGAUGAUCAGGAGCUUACAGAAAGUAUGCAAAAACUGCUCAUUGUUAUGCAAAGAUUAGAUGAAAAGAUUGGACCUAUGCUUGAAUCAGAUGGAGAACUUUUCAAUAAGAGAUGGGGUUGGCUUUCACGUGCUGGGCUAUGGGACAAGAGUCAUCUGACCAGGCAAAUCGAAAAAUAUGCUGAUAUAUACACAUCAAGGGUUUCAAAUUUUCUACACUAUACCCCAUUCAUGUAUUUCCAAUCUCAAGAACAGGUCUUUUACCAUCUUGGAGAAAAUUCAUGUUCAGAAGCUUGUGUCUGUCGUGAAAGAGAAGUUAGCAAAUCGACAGGAAGAGGCCCCAUGGACCGAAGAUUUGAAGAAACACUUGCAUGAUGUUAUGUCCCUAGGUGUAGGCACAGAACUCUUGAUCACACCAGACACCACUUUGCUGCUGGAGUUAUAUGACAUCAAGAAGGGAGAUAGAGGAAAAGCGAUAUUUCACCACAAGGCAAAAAAUCUGGAUGCUCUUAAGCUAUUGGGUAUACAUUUAGUUAUUUCUUCCUCAUCAAAAUGUUACCGUUCAAGCAUCUUGUCCUGGAUUAUAUGUUGAUAAAAAAGGAGUGUAUUGGGAUGUGCCAUUGUCAUUAUCAGCUGACCUUGCUUCAGUUGGCUCCAGUUCUGGAUUGAGUUAUCAUCUAUUUUUGCAGCAGAAUAGUGGGGAACCAAAAUAUUUUGGUGGUGAUGAAACCAGUGAAGUUCCUAUUGCUCUGCUGCCCAGCUUAUGUGUCAAAGCAGCUGUUUCCAUCAAGAAAAGUAUUGAUGCUUGGAGGAAAAAAGAAGACAAGCUAAAAAAUGUUCAGC